CUUUAGCAGCUGGAGCCAAACCUCCUAAAUAUGCCCCACAGACAGGCCUCGGAGGAGGUGGAUUCCCAGGAGGAGGAGGACAGGUUUUGCCAGGUGGUUACGGUGCUUAUGGGGGUGGUGCUGGAAGCAAACCUCCAAAGUUUGGAGUUUCAGGAGGAACUGGAGCUGGGUUAGGAUACGGAGCACUGGGAGGAGGAGGAGCAGG